CCUACGGGCGGCAGCAGUGGGGAAUAUUGGACAAUGGGCGAAAGCCUGAUCCAGCCAUGCCGCGUGUGUGAAGAAGGCCUUCGGGUUGUAAAGCACUUUCAGUGGGGAAGAAAGCCUUGGGGCUAAUACCCUCGAGGAAGGACAUCACCCACAGAAGAAGCACCGGCUAACUCCGUGCCAGCAGCCGCGGUAAUACGGAGGGUGCGAGCGUUAAUCGGAAUUACUGGGCGUAAAGCGCGCGUAGGCGGUCUGAUAAGCCGGUUGUGAAAGCCCCGGGCUCAACCUGGGAACGGCAUCCGGAACUGUCAGGCUAGAGUGCAGGAGAGGAAGGUAGAAUUCCCGGUGUAGCGGUGAAAUGCGUAGAGAUCGGGAGGAAUACCAGUGGCGAAGGCGGCCUUCUGGACUGACACUGACGCUGAGGUGCGAAAGCGUGGGUAGCAAACAGGAUUAGAUACACCAGUAGUC
rnacentral:rRNA from 1 species